CUCCUCUCCAUACAAUCGACAGCCACCAUCAUCAGUUUCUUCAUUUCUUCACCUGAAUCGACAGCCACCAUCAUACCAGCAAUUGAAUUCCCUGAAUCGUUUCUACCUUUAUGAUUGAAUCUCUACAGCCAUAAGGAAUUCAAUGAAUUACGCCAACUGAAAUCAAUUACCCCAUACGUUUCAUACAUACAAUUAUUUAACACCGAAUCCAUCAUGGAAUUGGGUAGGGUUUUCACCCCAUCCCCAACUCACCGGCCUUCUUAUCCUCUGCCAGGCGAUUUAUGGGUAUGAACAGGGUUUACACAUUGCACAAAAUCAAAGAAGAUGUAAUCGGGAGACCGAAUCCACGACUGUUUUCUCAAUGCUUCCUGGAAUUAGUUCAGAGUUGAUGACUAAAGCUGGUGAAAAAGAAAGUCAGGCAAAGAUAAAAAAGGAUACAUGAAAAUGAUGAAUUCGAUGACUGAUAAAGGUUUGUGCAAUUUGGUUCAAGAAAGAAGACACCUAAAAUGAGCCUGCUUGACUGGGGUGCCAAUGCUAGCUUAAGGAUCAUCAGAGCAUGAUACAUACUACAUGCAACAAAGGUCACAUUCAAAUGAGUAUCCUCUUUUUUUAAACACAUUUAUAAUCAUAAGAGACUUAAACCGGGAGAAAACCCUAGACCUAGACCAAAAGAUCGCCAGAUGAUUCAAGAUCGUGUAAAAGAAUUAAGAGAAAUCGUUCCGAACAGUGCCAAGUGUAGCAUCGAUGCUUUGCUAGAACACACGAUGAAGCACAUGCUUUUCUUGCAAAGUGUUACAAAGCAUGCAGACAAGCUAAAACAAACGGGUGAAUCCAAGCUGCAGUGUAGGGUCUGGUUUUAUCGUUGGGCUGUGCCUUCUUUCUAUUGGCGUUACGUUUGCGCUUUAUGAGAAUCCGCAUGUUAGUUUUUUUUGUUCCGGUAUGUUUGCAUGUGAUUUGGUUUCAGACAUUUGCUUUUUUUUUUUGUUUGUUUGCUUAUUACAGUAUUAGUUGUCAGUCGAUGAGUUUGAUGUUACUACACUGAGGAGUAAAGUGGUUAGGGGUUGUUGCUCCUUUUCUUUGCUUAAAAAUUUAUCUGAGCUAAUGAAGGUUUUGUAUUUAAGGAUAAGUUAGUCUCAUGAGAAGAUAUAUUGUCAGUCGAUGAGUUUGACAAACCAUAUUAUUGCUGUAAUGAUGUAAAUCUUUUAAUAAAGUCAAUAUAAGAGGUUCUCCAUUCAAAUACAACAUGCCCCCCUUUUUGCUUAUUUUUUUUUAUUUGACCCAUUUGAGAUACAACACAACCCAGCUGACCCAUUCAAGUAUAUGUGUCCAAGUUGCCAUCUAUUUAAAUAAGCCAUUGAACUGAAUUUCAAAAAAUGCAAUAUGGUUUGGUUUUCAUUUGGGAAAUUUGGUGAUCUGUGUAUUUGGGUAUGUUUUGCUUCCAUACUUGAAUCAAAUUGCUUAUGGUUA
rnacentral:lncRNA from 1 species